CCAGCAGCAGGGCCCCCGAGCGGCUGUAGCAUGAACUCGGCAUCUUCCGGGUGGCAGGCUGAGGCUCUGCAGAGGCAAACAAGAUUGGUGGGACCCCUGCAAGGAGCAGAACAAUGUUGGACACUCACCAGGAAGGACUGCAAGCCAAUACCAACAGCACUUGCUUGUGGAGUCCAAGGCUUUUUGAGGGCCCUACAGAGGCUGGAAAUGGAAGCUCUUUGGGGGAAUCGCUUGGUACAGCCAUUCAUUUGAGAGAUGAGGAAUCUGAAGCUCAUGAGAGACAAUGACAUUUGUAUUCAUAACAAGGAGCUGGCCCGCCUCCGGUGUCUUUUCCGAAAGAUGGCCCGGCUUGGGCCGAGUAAUCUCAGAGCGGCCAUUAGAUGGCGCUGGCAGCCAGGGCGCCGGCCCGGCAACCUCUGCUUAAGGGACGGCAGCGAGAGCGUUGGUCAGCCGGCGUUGCUGUUCGCUCCCUACGGAUCGCGGGACAGGCUGCUCCGAGGAUAGUUUGCUCCUGCUCCAGUUCAACCAGGCGGCCUGAACUUGGUGAACAAGCCAAUUAGAUCAGAGCGCUGAAUCUCGCGGCACAUUCAGGUCAGAAUUAGAUCCAGCCGUUACAGGAGAGGCAGAAAAAAGACAACUCUUUCUAGAAAUCCAGUGGUGAGUGUAAGGGGUGGAGGUCCUGCAGGCUGAAGGAGCCGACAGCCGACCACACGCUGGGAGGAAUAAGCCGGUGAGGAGCAGAAACCCGCGCUGCACACAAGGCCAAGAAAAGCCAAAUACUCCACAUCUUAAGCAGAUCAGAGAUUGGAUGCACAGGAACGACCCGUCCCCCAACAGUGGGAACCUCCCUGUGCCAUGCCAGGGUGAAGAAAGGCCAGGAGGUGCACAGGCGGGGCCUGGGGGCGCAGCAGGGGAAGCGGGGGAAGCACUGUGCUCCAGUCACAGCAGCGGUGGGGUGUGAGCCGGUGAGCCGCCUCCUGGGGCCUUCUCACUGGCUCCUGCCCCUUCUCUGUGUUACCUUUCCUCUCCCAUAACAGCAGUCUCCUCACUUGCCUCCUCCCUGUAGUAUUUCAGGAGUUCAAAACUCCUGUUUGUUUUUCACUUAGGCUCAGCCACUGCCUGCCACAGGAACUCAGUGGGGUAGAGUGUGGGCCGCUCUCCUGGCAGGCCCUGGACCCUGGUUAGCCUCACACAAGCGCCAGCCCCUCUCCUCCAUGUCCUCGGAGUGCUGGCGGGAAGGAGGCUGGGAAGGAAGGAGACAGGAGGGGAGGGAGGGAGGGAAGGAGCAGCCCAGGGUUGGAGCCUGUUGGGUGAGUCACACGAGGCCCUCGCCUGUGCAGGCUCAGGGGCCGGGUGAGGCCCCCACACCUGGCUGCUGUCUUGCCAGGUGGCCGUGGGUGCAGGACAGGGCGGCUCUCGUCAGCGCAGCUUUUCACCUUUGAGGGUUUAAUUGGAACAGAGAUGUCACCUGGGUGUGAGUGCCUUACAAAGGCAGGUGCAGAGGUGGCCACCGGCCAGGGAGGACAGCACGUGGGUGGGGCUGGCAGAGCCCAGUCUUGAUGGGGAGGAGGGGGGCAGCCUCACCCAGCUUUCGGGUCCCGGGAACAGUUCACUGGGAGAGGAGAGCCCUUAAAGGCCUGCCAUCCACCUGCGCCCGGCAGCCUGAGCUGGCUCACACAGACUCCAUCCUUGAGACGAAGGGGCCCCUCUCCAGGCAGUUUCCAAAGCUUGUGAUUCUCCCAACCCCACCCCACCUCACCCUCCUCUGCGGAGGAGCCUGAAACAGGGAGGCGGCCUGCUUUGAAAUGACGCAGCACUAAAAUAAAAUUUAAAAAAAUAAAAAAAGAA